AUUAUUUACGCAGUAAUUUAUUAUUUUCUAAUAUUUUUACAAAAUUACAAUGUCGUGUGAUUAUUAUUUUAUGCAAUGGAAAGAAACCCUAAGGAAUUUGAAGAGUUUAGUUCUACUUGAUCAUGAAUAUCAGAUAACCAAAGCCAAAGACAAGAAACUGUGUGAUGCGGUCAUACGGUUAUGUGGUAUGCUCGGAGAAUACAUAGUGAUCUACAAUGAAGCGCUGGACUGCUUGCAGCACAAUCUACAAGUCCAGAAGACACCGUACCUGCUUGAAAUAGUGAGAGCUGUUAUUAACAGAAUCCUAGAACUGAAACACGAGCUAAAGAAACUGGAAUGCACCAACGUACAGUUCCUAAAUCAUGGGUUAGCUAAUCAUAAGUUGACCACUUACAACGUUGAGCUAGACGAUGUCCUAAUGCAUAUGGAACGACCGAAUAGUGUGAAAACAACUAUCACUGAA